AGUGAACGCUGGCGGUAGGCCUAACACAUGCAAGUCGAACGGCAGCACAGUAAGAGCUUGCUCUUACGGGUGGCGAGUGGCGGACGGGUGAGGAAUACAUCGGAAUCUACUUUUUCGUGGGGGAUAACGUAGGGAAACUUACGCUAAUACCGCAUACGACCUACGGGUGAAAGCAGGGGAUCUUCGGACCUUGCGCGAUUGAAUGAGCCGAUGUUGGAUUAGCUAGUUGGCGGGGUAAAGGCCCACCAAGGCGACGAUCCGUAGCUGGUCUGAGAGGAUGGUCAGCCACACUGGAACUGAGACACGGUCCAGGCGCCUACGGGAGGCAGCAGUGGGGAAUAUUGGACAAUGGGCGCAAGCCUGAUCCAGCCAUACCGCGUGGGUGAAGAAGGCCUUCGGGUUGUAAAGCCCUUUUGUUGGGAAAGAAAAGCAGCAGGUUAAGACCCCGCUGUUCUGACGGUACCCAAAGAAUAAGCACCGGCUAACUUCGUG
rnacentral:rRNA from 1 species